GACGAACCGUGCAAUCGUGAUUCGGAAUCACUGGGCUUAAAGGGCGCGUAGGCGGGCAAUCAAGUCCGGGGUGAAAUCCUCCAGCUUAACUGGAGAAGUGCCUCGGAUACUGGUCGUCUCGAGGGGGGUAGGGGCAUCUGGAACUAGCGGUGGAGCGGUGAAAUGCGUUGAUAUCGCUAGGAACUCCGGUGGCGAAGGCGAGGUGCUGGACCCUUUCUGACGCUGAGGCGCGAAAGCCAGGGGAGCGAACGGG
rnacentral:rRNA from 1 species